CUUUUGAGUAUAAUUUAAGGUCUAACCUGCCCAAUGAAAUUUUAAAUGGCCGCGGUAUUUUGACCGUGCAAAGGUAGCAUAAUCAUUUGUUUUUUAAUUGAAAGCUGGANUGAAGGGUUGGAUGAGAANAUAACUGUCUCUGUUUAAUUGUUUUAGAAUUUUAUUUUUAAGUUAAAAAGCUUAAAUAUUUUUUGAAGACGAGAMGACCCUAUAGAGUUUAAUAUUUAUUAAGUUUUUUUAAAAUAGAUUUUUUGAUGAAAAUAAAAAUAAUUAUUUGAUUGGGGUGAUUAAAAAAUUAAAUAAACUUUUUUUGUAUUUUUACAUUGAUUUAUGAAAAUUUGAUCCUUAUAAAAGAUUAAAAGAUUAAAUUACCUUAGGGAUAACAGCGUAAUUUUUUUUUAGAGUUCAAAUCGAAAGAAAAGAUUGCGACCUCGAUGUUGGAUUAAAAUUAAUUUUUGGCGUAGUAGUUAGA
rnacentral:rRNA from 1 species